rnacentral:snRNA from 1 species
AAGAAGGUCAUGAUACAGAAGUA